rnacentral:tRNA from 3 species
GGUAAAGCGUACAUACAUCUGGUUUGCUAAACCAAAGGUUAUAGGUUCGACUCCUAUCGUCCCCA